GAUGAACGCUGGCGGCGUGCCUAAUACAUGCAAGUCGAGCGAACAGACGAGGAGCUUGCUCCUCUGACGUUAGCGGCGGACGGGUGAGUAACACGUGGAUAACCUACCUAUAAGACUGUGAUAACUUCGGGAAACCGGAGCUAAUACCGGAUAAUAUAUUGAACCGCAUGGUUCAAUAGUGAAAGACGGUUUUGCUGUCACUUAUAGAUGGAUCCGCGCCGCAUUAGCUAGUUGGUAAGGUAACGGCUUACCAAGGCAACGAUGCGUAGCCGACCUGAGAGGGUGAUCGGCCACACUGGAACUGAGACAUGGUCCAGACUCCUACGGGAGGCAGCAGUAGGGAAUCUUCCGCAAUGGGCGAAAGCCUGACGGAGCAACGCCGCGUGAGUGAUGAAGGUCUUCGGAUCGUAAAACUCUGUUAUUAGGGAAGAACAAAUGUGUAAGUAACUAUGCACGUCUUGACGGUACCUAAUCAGAAAGCCACGGCUAACUACGUG
rnacentral:rRNA from 1 species